rnacentral:rRNA from 1 species
GAUGAACGCUAGCGGCAGGCCUAAUACAUGCAAGUCGUACGGGAUUGAGGACUUCGGUUCUCAUGAGAGUGGCGCACGGGUGCGUAACACGUAUGCAACCUACCUUUAACCGGGGGAUAGCCUUUCGAAAGAGAGAUUAAUACCGCAUAAGACAGCACGAUCGCAUGAAAGAGUUGUUAAAGCUUCGGUGGUUAAAGAUGGGCAUGCGUUGCAUUAGCUAGUUGGUAAGUAACGGCUUACCAAGGCUACGAUGCAUAGGGGAUCUGAGAGGAUGAUCCCCCACACUGGUACUGAGACACGGACCAGACUCCUACGGGAGGCUG